ACGUGUUCGUAUUCUGACUCUAAAAGAGGCUUGCUCAAAGAAUGACUGCUGGGCAAAUGAAUGUGUGAGUGACUACGACUGCCAAAAGGACCAGUUUUGCUUUACGACUCUCCUUGCUUCCUGGUGCAAGCAGUGCAAGGCCAAAGAUAAGGCAUGCUGGAAGGAUGGGGAAUGCUGCUUGGGAUACCUCUGUGUCUGGGGCAAGUGUACAGAAGGUGUGAGCCACGGGGAGAGUGGAACAAGAUGUGACCCAUGCCAAGAAGAGUGCGCCCAGGGGCUGUGCUGCACCACCAGCAACUCUCUCCCAUUCCCAGUCUGCACUCCCGAUCCAAAAGAAGGGGAAGCGUGUCAGAUUCCAAGUGGUACCCUUUUUGGACUGAUGGGCUGGGGCAGCCUGGCAGCAUUUGCCAAACCUAGGCAGGACUGUCCAUGUGCCCAGGGGUUGAUGUGCAGAACUAAAAGAUAUACAACAGUUUCCACAUGUGAAAAGCCAGACAAUGAUGUGGAUAACAGCAGCCCAGGCCGACAGCUGCCUUUCUUCCAGCCAAUCCUGAUGCGUCGGGACAAAGAGGAUGCUUAUUACGAUGACUCCAGACAAGAUGGCCAACUGGCAAUAGUCAGUCUGCCCAGAGGCCCUUAUUCCAUGGAAGAUAUUAGUCAAGUCAAGGGGCUGAGUGAAGACUAUGAUGAGAAGAGACAAUUGCCGUGGCAGGAGGAGAUGGCUUAUCCCAACCAAUCAGAAUUCCAGGAACUCAAGGAAUUGGCCAAUCAAAUGGGGCAGUACUUUGGGCCUGGCUUUUACUAAUUACACAUACUUUUUGUCCACAAUUUGCAUAGCUUGUUACUCCUCCUCAUCCGCCUUCCAUGUCUUUCUCCUUUACCUCUUCUGUGUUGUUCCUUAUACUCCCCUGUUUUCUAUAUUCUGUACAGCAAACAAAACUUAAAACUGUUAAUUCAUUACUAGCUGUGCAAGUGUUGUUCUGUUCACAUUGCGAACAUAGUUCUUAUUCUUGACAGUUUAUGAAACAUCCUUUCUUCACUAUCUUCUAAUAAAUCUUCAGGCUAGUCUUGAAAAACUGCACACUUAUUCCUAUGAUCCAAUGUG